CACAUGCAUUAGCUCAUGUGGUGUGCACAGUAAUCCUCUGAAAGAAGUAAUAGAAGCUGUUAGGUAUGAAAGGUGCCAGGUACUGGCCCUGUGAUUUAUAUGUACCGUGGUGUUCAUUUUUCACAAUAACCCUAAUGCAGGUACUUUAAUUAUGCGCAUUCACAACCGAAAUCAUUGAGGCGCAAGUAAAUAACUUGCCAGGGGGGCCGGCGCUGUGGCGCAGGGGGCGAAAGCCCUAGCCUGAAGGGCAGGCAUCUCAUAAGGGCGCAAGUUCGAGUCCGGCUGCUCCACUUGUGACCCUGCUCUCUACUAUGGCUUGGGAAGGCUGUUAAAGAUGGCCCAAAUUCUUGGGCCCUUGCACCCACAUGGGAGACCCGGAGGAAGCUCCUGGCUCCUGGGUUCAGAUCAGUUCAGCUCUGGCCAUUGUGGCCAUUUUGGAAGUCAACCAGCAGGAUAGAAGACCUCUCCUUCUGGCUCUACAUCUCUAACUCUAUCUUUCAAAUAAAUAAAAUAAAUGUUAAAAAAAAGGAAGAAGAAGUAACUACCAUACUCAAAUUAGAAAAACCAAAAACCUAGCUCAUGACUCCUAACUGGUAAGUAAGAAUUGAAACCAAUACAUAGCUUGACCUUUCGGCUCUCGGCAGCUAUGCUGCAAAGCUUUCUUAUGACCAGUGUAUCUAUCAAGGAAUCAAGACGAGACGGGUUAACAGCCUGGGCAAUGGGGUCACACUGCGUUAGCAGAAUGCACAGUCAUGCUCGACCUUCAGGCUGGACGUUGUAUACCAUAAAACAGCUGUGGACACAAAAAAAAAAAAAAAAAAAACGUAAAUCCGAUCGGUUCAUUCCCGUUUAGAGGCCUCCAGUGGAUCCUUCUACCUCAAACAUGACAUGAAAACUCACACUGGCCUGCGAGGCUCCCUGGGGUGUUGCCUGCCUCCCCUCUCUGGAUUCAGCCCCUAGGCUCACUGUGGCCAGUCCUCAGCCUCACUGACUCCCCUUUUCCUCAUGACAGCCGCCCACCCUUCACAGCACUAUAAGGAGUGGUCUCUUUGGGUUAUUUACCUAUUUUGUUUUGCCUGUAGGAGCUUUAAGGGCAGGGAUCUUGUCUGUAUUGUUUACCAGAGUAUCUCCCACCGAGCCCCAGGUUGCUGGUUGCAUGGUAUAGAGAACUCCUAUGUAUGUCUUGAAUACUCACGAAUGAAUUGCCUGCUGGUUGCAUUGCUGCUUUCGCUAGGUCACAGGUCAGGCAUCAGAGCAAAAAGAGGCCUGCUAUGUAGGGUUUGUUCCCAGAACUAUAGGUGUAGCCUUCCAGAAGCAUUUCAAGGCGCUCGGACUUCAGCUUUUCAUCUCGUUCAGGAAAGUGCCGUCUGCAGAGCACCCUCAGCCUCUGUUGGAUUCAUGAACAAGGGAGCCAGUGAGGAGCCGCUGAUGACUACAGGUGCAGACCAUUGAGAGACUUCACUGCAGCAUGGCUUCAACCCCCCAGCAGCAAGAUGUUCCACAAUGCUUGUUGCAGUCACCUGCGCCCUUUGUUUUGCUGUCAUUAUUUUCUUGUAUGGACAACAGCACACACCUGAGGAGCUGGCAGCUGGCCUGUCUCACGUGCAUUAUCUCUGUUUCUCCACAUGUAAAACUCUUGGAGGCAUUCACAUGAAGGGCGUUAGAAACAUCACAGCACAGUUCUAUGCCUGAAGGAGUCUUUUGCCUGGAAGCCGUUUUCACAUUUAUAGUUUUGGUGUCUUCAUCUGAAAUAAU